CCUACGGGCGGCAGCAGUGGGGAAUAUUGGACAAUGGGGGGAACCCUGAUCCAGCCAUGCCGCGUGUGUGAAGAAGGCCCUCGGGUUGUAAAGCACUUUCAGUGAGGAAGAACGCCUGGUGGUUAAUACCCAUCAGGAAAGACAUCACUCACAGAAGAAGCACCGGCUAACUCCGUGCCAGCAGCCGCGGUAAUACGGAGGGUGCGAGCGUUAAUCGGAAUUACUGGGCGUAAAGCGCGCGUAGGUGGCUUGAUAAGCCGGUUGUGAAAGCCCCGGGCUCAACCUGGGAACGGCAUCCGGAACUGUCAAGCUAGAGUGCAGGAGAGGAAGGUAGAAUUCCCGGUGUAGCGGUGAAAUGCGUAGAGAUCGGGAGGAAUACCAGUGGCGAAGGCGGCCUUCUGGACUGACACUGACACUGAGGUGCGAAAGCGUGGGUAGCAAACAGGAUUAGAUACCCCGGUAGUC
rnacentral:rRNA from 1 species